rnacentral:rRNA from 1 species
GGUGAGUAGCACGUGGAUAACCUACCUAUAAGACUGGGAUAACUUCGGGAAACCGGAGCUAAUACCGGAUAAUAUUUUGAACCGCAUGGUUCAAAAGUGAAAGACGGUCUUGCUGUCACUUAUAGAUGGAUCCGCGCUGCAUUAGCUAGUUGGUAAGGUAACGGCUUACCAAGGCAACGAUGCAUAGCCGACCUGAGAGGGUGAUCGGCCGCACUGGAACUGAGACACGGUCCAG